UAGAGGUCGCCGGUUCGAG
rnacentral:siRNA from 1 species